rnacentral:rRNA from 1 species
GACGAACGCUGGCGGCGUGCUUAACACAUGCAAGUCGAACGGUAAGGCCCUGCUUUUGUGGUGUGCUCGAGUGGCGAACGGGUGAGUAACACGUGAGUAACCUGCCCUUGACUUUGGGAUAACUUCAGGAAACUGUGGCUAAUACCGGAUAGGAGCUCCUGCUGCAUGGUGGGUGUUGGAAAGUUUCGGCGGUUGGGGAUGGACUCGCGGCUUAUCAGCUUGUGGGUGGGGUAGUGGCUUACCAAGGCUUUGACGGGUAGCCGGCCUGAGAGGGUGACCGGCCACAUUGGGACUGAGAUACGGCCCAGACUCCUACGGGAGGCAGCAGUGGGGAAUAUUGCACAAUGGGCGGAAGCCUGAUGCAGCAACGCCGCGUGCGGGAUGACGGCCUUCGGGUUGUAAACCGCUUUCGCCUGUGACGAAGCGUGAGUGACGGUAAUGGGUAAAGAAGCACCGGCUAACUACGUG